rnacentral:rRNA from 1 species
UACAGAGGGGGCAAGCGUUAUUCGGAAUUAUUGGGCGUAAAGCGCACGUAGGCGGCUUCUUAAGUCAGGGGUGAAAUCCUGGAGCUCAACUCCGGAACUGCCUUCGAUACUGGCGAUCUUUGAGUCCGGGAGAGGUGAGUGGAACUCCGAGUGUAGAGGUGAAAUUCGUAGAUAUUCGGAAGAACACCAGUGGCGAAGGCGGCUCACUGGCCCGGUACUGACGCUGAGGUGCGAAAGCGUGGGGAGCAAACAGG